UAUUUUUUUGANAAAUUUAUAGGAUGGCACC
rnacentral:piRNA from 1 species